rnacentral:rRNA from 1 species
GAACCCUGGGCAAAUCUAGUUCUUGUGGCAAGAUAAAACCUUCAGCCCAAAAGAAUGUUUCCUGACCUCCACGUAACAACAGGGAUUAUUGGAAGUGUAGUCUGCUUUCUCCUCUAUGCAGCACCAAUAUUGACAUUCAGAAGAGUGAUAAAGAAGGGCAGCGUAGAAGAAUACUCAUGCAUACCAUAUAUCUUAACUUUGUUCAGCAGCCUCACAUAUACUUGGUACGGUCUUCCAGUAGUGAGCUCCGGAUGGGAGAAUUGGACUCUGUCCGGAAUCAGCUCACUAGGAGUGCUCUUUGAAAGCACAUUUAUCAGUAUAUACAUAUGGUUUGCACCACGAGAGAAAAAGAAGCUUGUCAUGAUGAUGGUAUCUCCAAUUCUAAUCAUCUUCGGCAUGGCUGUAUUUUUCUCAAUUUUCUCAUUCCACACCCACCAAAUGCGUAAAGUAUUUGUCGGUAGCAUUGGUUUGGUGGCUUCCAUAUUAAUGUAUGGCUCUCCGUUGGUAGCUGUGAAACAAGUUAUCAGGACGAAAAGUGUGGAGUUCAUGCCUUUCUACUUGUCAUUGUUUAGCUUCUUGACAAGUUUACUCUGGAUGCUGUAUGGGCUCCUUGGAAAGGAUCCUUUUCUCACGGCACCAAGCUUCAUUGGCUGCUUAAUGGGUAUUCUUCAGUUGGUCGUGUACUGCAUUUACAGCAAAUGCAAAGAAGCACCCAAGACGAAUCCUGAUAUUGAGCAAGCAGAUGAACUGAAAGUUGUAACUAGUCAAGACAACACGAAAGGACAAAAGCCAUAAUCUGAGACCUAAGCUACCAUUUUGAGUAACAAAUACAUUUUCUUUUCGCUGGACAAAGUGUCUCUUGUAACCGCAUAAUGCGAGGAGAAAAUAAUAGUCUUCAGAUUAUCAUAUAUUAUGUUCCUAGUCAACUAUUGCAGAUCUAAAUAAUUUGCUAAUGAUGUGGCUGCAAUGUCCCAUGGUCACACAUUGCAGAAACUAGAUAUGCAUACACAGCUUGACUUGACUAACAGAGUAACAGUGGAUGUGUUCACAGGGCAUCCAAGAGGAAUGUUCUUUGCAAUCAUCAUGUGUUAAGUUGGGAUGAUAGCAAAGAAAAAACCCUUGCAUACAUCAACGUAUUUACUGUUGAUUAAUGAACCACCACACCAUUGCCACAUACUG